CAGUAGCCGCGGUAAUACAGAGGGUGCGAGCGUUAAUCGGAUUUACUGGGCGUAAAGCGUGCGUAGGCGGCUUCUUAAGUCGGAUGUGAAAUCCCUGAGCUUAACUUAGGAAUUGCAUUCGAUACUGGGAAGCUAGAGUAUGGGAGAGGAUGGUAGAAUUCCAGGUGUAGCGGUGAAAUGCGUAGAGAUCUGGAGGAAUACCGAUGGCGAAGGCAGCCAUCUGGCCUAAUACUGACGCUGAGGUACGAAAGCAUGGGGAGCAAACAGGAUUAGAUACCCUAGUAGUCCCUGUCUCUUAUAC
rnacentral:rRNA from 1 species